UGGAAUAGCUCAGUUGGCAGAGCAUGAGACUCUCAGGGUUGUGGGUUCCAGCCCCACCUUGUCAA